UACGGAGGGUGCAAGCGUUGUUCGGAAUCAUUGGGCGUAAAGCGCGUGUAGGCGGCUUGGCAAGUCAGUUGUGAAAGCCCGGGGCCCAACCCCGGAACUGCAUCUGAAACUGCCUAGCUAGAGUCCCGGAGAGGAAGGCAGAAUUCCCGGUGUAGUGGUGAAAUGCGUAGAUAUCGGGAGGAACACCAGUGGCGAAGGCGACUACCUGGCCCACUCUUGACGCUGAGGCGCGAAAGCUAGGGGAGCGAACGGG
rnacentral:rRNA from 1 species